rnacentral:rRNA from 1 species
UACGUAGGGUGCGAGCGUUGUCCGGAAUUAUUGGGCGUAAAGGGCUCGUAGGCGGUUUGUCGCGUCGGGAGUGAAAACACCGGGCUUAACUCGGUGCUGGCUUUCGAUACGGGCAGACUAGAGGUAUUCAGGGGAGAACGGAAUUCCUGGUGUAGCGGUGAAAUGCGCAGAUAUCAGGAGGAACACCGGUGGCGAAGGCGGCGACCUGGGUCGAGACUGACACUGAGGCGCGAAAGCGUGGGGAGCAAACAGG